rnacentral:rRNA from 1 species
ACUCCUACGGGAGGCAGCAGUGGGAAUAUUGGACAAUGGGGGCAACCCUGAUCCAGCAAUGCCGCGUGUGUGAAGAAGGCCUGCGGGUUGUAAAGCACUUUCAGUAGAGAAGAAAAGCCUAGGGUUAAUACCCCUGAGUCUUGACGUUACCUACAGAAGAAGCUCCGGCUAACUCCGUGCCAGCAGCCGCGGUAAUACGGAGGGGGUUAGCGUUGUUCGGAAUUACUGGGCGUAAAGCGCGCGUAGGCGGACUAUUAAGUCAGAGGUGAAAUCCCGGGGCUCAACCCCGGAACUGCCUUUGAUACUGGUAGUCUUGAGUUCGAGAGAGGUGAGUGGAAUUCCGAGUGUAGAGGUGAAAUUCGUAGAUAUUCGGAGGAACACCAGUGGCGAAGGCGGCUCACUGGCUCGAUACUGACGCUGAGGUGCGAAAGUGUGGGGAGCAAACAGGAUUAGAUACCCUGGUAGGCUCU